CGCCGCCGGUCACGCCCGCGGCCUUCACAUCCGGGAGCUGGGUGGAGG
rnacentral:tRNA from 13 species